UCCCUGGUGGACUAGUGGUUAGCAUGUGGUGCUCUCACCGCCAUGGCCCGGGUUCAAUCCAUGGUCAGUAAG